rnacentral:rRNA from 1 species
UUGGCUCAGGACGAACGCUGGCGGCGUGCCUAAUACAUGCAAGUCGAGCGGACAGAUGGGAGCUUGCUCCCUGAUGUUAGCGGCGGACGGGUGAGUAACACGUGGGUAACCUGCCUGUAAGACUGGGAUAACUCCGGGAAACCGGGGCUAAUACCGGAUGGUUGUUUGAACCGCAUGGUUCAAACAUAAAAGGUGGCUUCGGCUACCACUUACAGAUGGACCCGCGGCGCAUUAGCUAGUUGGUGAGGUAACGGCUCACCAAGGCAACGAUGCGUAGCCGACCUGAGAGGGUGAUCGGCCACACUGGGACUGAGACACGGCCCAGACUCCUACGGGAGGCAGCAGUAGGA